rnacentral:rRNA from 1 species
UACAGAGGGUGCGAGCGUUAAUCGGAAUUACUGGGCGUAAAGCGCACGUAGUCGGCUUUGCAAGUCGGUUGUGAAAUCCCCGGGCUCAACCUGGGAACUGCAUCCGAGACUGCAUUGCUAGAGUAUGGGAGAGGAAAGCGGAAUUUCUGGUGUAGCAGUGAAAUGCGUAGAUAUCGGGAGGAACACCAGUGGCGAAGGCGGCGAUCUGGGAAGAUACUGACGCUGAGGUGCGAAAGCGUGGGGAGCAAACAGG